ACACUGUUCAUGGGUUACCGCGGCUGCUGGCACGGAGUUAGCCGGUGCUUCUUCUGUGAGUGAUGUCCUUCCUGCCGGCUAUUAACCCGCAGGCCUUCUUCCUCACUGAAAGUGCUUUACAACCCGAAGGCCUUCUUCACACACGCGGCAUGGCUGGAUCAGGGUUGCCCCCAUUGUCCAAUAUUCCCCACUGCUGCCUCCCGUAGGAGUCUGGGCCGUGUCUCAGUCCCACGUGUGGCUGAUCAUCCUCUCAGACCAGCUACGGAUCGUCGCCUUGGUGAGCCGUUACCUCACCAACCAGCUAAUCCGACAUAGGCUCAUCCGAUAGCGCGAGG
rnacentral:rRNA from 1 species